rnacentral:rRNA from 1 species
AUGGAGGAGGCACAUAUGUUUGUUGAUUCUGUUUCUGGGUUGGCCCUUGAGGGGGAGAGGAAAGCAAACUUCAGCAUGCUUCAGGUAGAGCACAUCCGUGCUUGGUUUUACUUCAUUAGUAGCUGGCAUUCGAUUUCUGCUCUUUGGCUGGCAAUGGUUCAGUGCCCACACUACACUUCAGUUCUGGGGAUUUUAUACAUGGUGUCAACACAAUUCUCCGGUACAUUGCACGUGCUGCAUUUGUUUCCAGCUUCUAUGUCCAGGACGAUAUUCAGGCAGCACAAGUUGACCAAUGGCUCAAGUACGCACCAACUCAUUCUCUCGGGCUCUGAAUUUGAAUCUGCUUGCUCAUUUCUUGAUGGAUACUUGGCAACUCGAACCUUUUUUGUUGAUUAUGGUCUAUCAAUUGCUGACAUUGUCAUGUGGUCAAAUCUCACAGGUCACCAUGGUUGUUCCAUUGUCAUAUCAUUCAUCAUAUGCUGCUGUUUAGCAUCACAAAAGAAGAAGGCCAGACUCUUGCCUUCCCUGCCAAUGCUUCCUCCUGCCAUGCUAGCCAUGUGUGCCCUCACCUUUGUUCAUCAAUUCGUGCGCAGUCCAGAAAUUCUUGGAAAUUCUCCUGUUGCUGUUAUAAUUGCAAAUGCUACAUCUGAAGGAGCGGCUGUAGCUGGUGAUGAAGAGAGGCACUUCGCAUUUGCCCACCAGAAGUACAGAUCGGUAAAGUAUAGAGAAGCUUCAGAGCAUGGCAGCAUUGUUUAUGAGAAGGUCCACGACAAACUGAUAACCUACUUCUUCUUGGAGUUAUCUACUAUCAGUUUAUGA